rnacentral:tRNA from 1 species
GCCUGGGUGGCUCAGUUGGUUAAGCGUCUGACUUUGGCUCAGGUCAUGAUCCCACAGUUCGUGGGAUCGAGCCCAUGUCAGGCU